rnacentral:rRNA from 1 species
UGGGGGAGCUGCCUGAAUGAGGGGGACAACACCUGGAAACGGGUGCUAAUACCGCGUAAGCCCUGAGGGGGAAAGGCCGGGCAACCGGUCGCAUUCAGAUGCGCCCAGGUGGGAUUAGCUAGUUGGUGGGGUAACGGCCUACCAAGGCGACGAUCUCUAGCUGGUCUGAGAGGAUGAUCAGCCACACUGGAACUGAGACACGGUCCAGACUCCGUACGGGAGGCAGCAGGUAGGGAAUAUUGCACAUGGGGGGAACCCUGAUGCAGCCAUGCCGCGUGUGUGAAGAAGGCCUUUUGGGGUUGUAAAGCACUUUCAGUAUGGAGGAAGUGAGCUGAGUUAAUAGCUUAGUUCAUUGACGUUACAUACAGAAGAAGCACCGGCUAACUCCGUGCCAGCCGCAGC